rnacentral:rRNA from 1 species
GAUGAACGCUGGCGGCGUGCUUAACACAUGCAAGUCGAACGGUGAAGCAGGAGCUUGCUCCUGUGGAUCAGUGGCGAACGGGUGAGUAACACGUGAGCAAUCUGCCCUGGACUCUGGGAUAAGCGUUGGAAACGACGUCUAAUACCGGAUACGAGGCGUGGGGGCAUCCCCAACGCCUGGAAAGAAUUUCGGUCCAGGAUGAGCUCGCGGCCUAUCAGGUAGUUGGUGAGGUAACGGCUCACCAAGCCUACGACGGGUAGCCGGCCUGAGAGGGGGACCGGCCACAAUGGGACUGAGACACGGCCCAGACUCCUACGGGAGGCAGCAGUGGGGAAUAUUGCACAAUGGGCGCAAGCCUGAUGCAGCAACGCCGCGUGAGGGACGACGGCCUUCGGGUUGUAAACCUCUUUUAGCAGGGAAGAAGCGAAAGUGACGGUACCUGCAGAAAAAGCACCGGCUAACUACGUGCCAGCCGCCGCGGUAAUAC